rnacentral:rRNA from 1 species
AUUGAACGCUGGCGGAAUGCUUUACACAUGCAAGUCGAACGGCAGCACGGGUGCUUGCACCUGGUGGCGAGUGGCGAACGGGUGAGUAAUACAUCGGAACGUGCCCUGUAGUGGGGGAUAACUAGUCGAAAGAUUAGCUAAUACCGCAUACGACCUGAGGGUGAAAGUGGGGGACCGCAAGGCCUCAUGCUAUAGGAGCGGCCGAUGUCUGAUUAGCUAGUUGGUGGGGUAAAGGCCUACCAAGGCGACGAUCAGUAGCUGGUCUGAGAGGACGAUCAGCCACACUGGGACUGAGACACGGCCCAGACUCCUACGGGAGGCAGCAGUGGGGAAUUUUGGACAAUGGGCGAAAGCCUGAUCCAGCAAUGCCGCGUGUGUGAAGAAGGCCUUCGGGUUGUAAAGCACUUUUGUCCGGAAAGAAAUGGCUCUGGUUAAUACCUGGGGUCGAUGACGGUACCGGAAGAAUAAGGACCGGCUAACUACGUGCCAGCCGCCGCCGUAA